rnacentral:rRNA from 1 species
CCUACGGGGGGCACCAGUAGGGAAUCUUCGGCAAUGGACGAAAGUCUGACCGAGCAACGCCGCGUGAGUGAAGAAGGUUUUCGGAUCGUAAAACUCUGUUGGUAGAGAAGAACGUUGGUGAGAGUGGAAAGCUCAUCAAGUGACGGUAACUACCCAGAAAGGGACGGCUAACUACGUGCCAGCAGCCGCGGUAAUACGUAGGUCCCGGGCGUUGUCCGGGUUUAUUGGGCGUAUAGCGAGCGCAGGUGGUUUAUUAAGUCUGGUGUAAAAGGCAGUGGCUCAACCAUUGUAUGCAUUGGGAACUGGUAGACUUGAGUGCAGGAGAGGAGAGUGGAAUUCCAUGUGUAGCGGUGAGAUGCGUAGAUAUAUGGAGGAACACCGGUGGCGAAAGCGGCUCUCUGGCCUGUAACUGACACUGAGGCUCGAAAGCGUGGGGAGCAAACAGGAUUAGAUACCCUCGUAGUC